UAGACUCUCGGCAAUGGAUAUCUUGGCUCUUGCAUCGAUGAAGAGCGCAGCGAAAUGCGAUACGUGGUGCGAAUUGCAGAAUCCCGUGAACCAUCGAGUUUUUGAACGCAAGUUGCGCCUGAGGCCAUCUGGUUGAGGGCACGUCCGCCUGGGCGUCAUGC
rnacentral:rRNA from 1 species